rnacentral:rRNA from 1 species
UACGGAGGGGGCAAGCGUUAUUCGGAAUCAUUGGGCGUAAAGGGCGCGUAGGCGGCUUGGCAAGUCAAAGGUGAAAUCCCUCGGCCUAACCGAGGAACUGCCUUUGAAACUGCUUGGCUUGAGGCCGGGAGAGGGUAGCGGAAUUCCCAGUGUAGCGGUGAAAUGCGUAGAUAUGACACAGAACACCGAUUGCGAAGGCAGCUCACUAAGCCAUAACUGACGCUGAUGCACGAAAGCGUGGGGAGCAAACAGG